AUGGUUAUUUCCUUGACUUCUUUAACGUCUUUAGUAAUGUUGGAUCCUUUGAGGACUCGUUUGGUUCGUGGGAAGCUUUUUUUUUUAUAGAAAUAUGAUUCUUGUAAAGCAUAUUUCUGCAAAGAGGAUGCCUGAAAAAGUACUUUUGUCAUGUUUGGUUAACCAUGAAAAAGUGAAAGAUUUUCAGAGCGCUUAUGUUUAGUUAACCAUCCACUUUUUUAAAAAAGUUGUGUGUAACUCCUAUUAUACUAUUAAUAAAAAUUAGAUUUUUAAUACUUUAGAUCAAAUAAGGAUAGCUGAAAGGUUUUUGUGGAAAAAAAUAAAAAUAUUUUGAUUUUUUGGCUCGCGAAAAAAUAAUUUUUUUAUGUUUCUUAUGAAAUUUUUUUUUAUUUGUUUACUUUUUUUUGUUGAUUAUUUUUUCUUUCCGUGAACUAAACGUAUUUUUUUUAAGAAUUAGAUGAGGCCAAUGAUUGUCUAGUUAUAAGCAGUAGGUACUUUUAGCAAAAACUAUAAAAAUAAAAAUUGAUGUGAUAAUUACAAGUGCAACCAAUAAAUGACAUCACUGUAAGAAGGGCUCUCAUUUUAAAACGAGGGUCUCCUAGAACAACGAGGCUAACAAUUGUGUGGCUAAAAGCAAUGGGCAAAAGUUGAUUGGAACGAAAUUUUGUUUCCAACGAAAAAAUUCAGAUUCAAAAUACGUAAGACAUUGAUUAAAUACGGAAAUCGGAUACCCUCGUCUGAUUUGUCUAUUAAAAGUACUACUGAUUCUCUGGUACUGAGAUGGUGAUGGAAUGACGUGAGAGCUUAGUGAGAACUACUACGUGGGUGAAAUUAAUUCUUCUCUCCCCAUCUUGCCUGAGCAAAAAAAUAAAAAAUAAAAAAAUAAAAAAGUUGAUAUGAUUUGUAUCAAAAAGUUGAUGUGGCAAAAUAAAAGCUGGAACCAAUCGGCAUCACUGUAAGGAGCGCUCACCUGGAUUUGUAACCAUUAAAAGGUUGUCUAAACACAAGGAAAUGGGUUAGUGGGGUGGAGGGCCCACCUUAUCGUUUUGUAUCUCAUCCAACUUGAGAUCUAAGCUUGGAUUGGCCGGUAGAACCCACAUGCGGAAAAAGGAAUGUAAGAAACAACCACUUGCAGGCUGAGCGAUCAUGGCAUCAGCGGAAGUUGAAAUUGUAAUGGGAAGCGAGAAAAGCAAGGAAAGUGAUGAUGGAGAUCACAGACUAAAAAGCUUCAGACCAGAGGCAA
rnacentral:lncRNA from 1 species